AAGGGUAGCUUCGGAUAUCUGGAUCCAGAGUAUUUUAGGCGGCAGCAACUGACUGAAAAAUCGGAUGUUUACUCUUUUGGAGUUGUGCUGUUUGAGAUCUUGUGUGCUCGACCAGCCUUGAACCCAACGCUGCCAAAGGAGCAAGUCAGCUUGGCAGAGUGGGCUGCUCAUUGCUACAAGAAAGGCAUUCUGGAUCAGAUUGUUGACCCCUAUCUGAAGGGGAAGAUUGC
rnacentral:misc_RNA from 1 species